GUAUCCUGUCUGAAUAUGGGGGGACCAUCCUCCAAGGCUAAAUACUCCUGACUGACCGAUAGUGAACCAGUACCGUGAGGGAAAGGCGAAAAGAACCCCGGCGAGGGGAGUGAAAAAGAACCUGAAACCGUGUACGUACAAGCAGUGGGAGCACGCUUAGGCGUGUGACUGCGUACCUUUUGUAUAAUGGGUCAGCGACUUAUAUUCUGUAGCAAGGUUAACCGAAUAGGGGAGCCGAAGGGAAACCGAGUCUUAACUGGGCGUUAAGUUGCAGGGUAUAGACCCGAAACCCGGUGAUCUAGCCAUGGGCAGGUUGAAGGUUGGGUAACACUAACUGGAGGACCGAACCGACUAAUGUUGAAAAAUUAGCGGAUGACUUGUGGCUGGGGGUGAAAGGCCAAUCAAACCGGGAGAUAGCUGGUUCUCCCCGAAAGCUAUUUAGGUAGCGCCUCGUGAAUUCAUCUCCGGGGGUAGAGCACUGUUUCGGCAAGGGGGUCAUCCCGACUUACCAACCCGAUGCAAACUGCGAAUACCGGAGAAUGUUAUCACGGGAGACACACGGCGGGUGCUAACGUCCGUCGUGAAGAGGGAAACAACCCAGACCGCCAGCUAAGGUCCCAAAGUCAUGGUUAAGUGGGAAACGAUGUGGGAAGGCCCAGACAGCCAGGAUGUUGGCUUAGAAGCAGCCAUCAUUUAAAGAAAGCGUAAUAGCUCACUGGUCGAGUCGGCCUGCGCGGAAGAUGUAACGGGGCUAAACCAUGCACCGAAGCUGCGGCAGCGACGCUUAUGCGUUGUUGGGUAGGGGAGCGUUCUGUAAGCCUGUGAAGGUGUGCUGUGAGGCAUGCUGGAGGUAUCAGAAGUGCGAAUGCUGACAUAAGUAACGAUAAAGCGGGUGAAAAGCCCGCUCGCCGGAAGACCAAGGGUUCCUGUCCAACGUUAAUCGGGGCAGGGUGAGUCGACCCCUAAGGCGAGGCCGAAAGGCGUAGUCGAUGGGAAACAGGUUAAUAUUCCUGUACUUGGUGUUACUGCGAAGGGGGGACGGAGAAGGCUAUGUUGGCCGGGCGACGGUUGUCCCGGUUUAAGCGUGUAGGCUGGUUUUCCAGGCAAAUCCGGAAAACUAAGGCUGAGGCGUGAUGACGAGGCACUACGGUGCUGAAGCAACAAAUGCCCUGCUUCCAGGAAAAGCCUCUAAGCAUCAGGUAACAUCAAAUCGUACCCCAAACCGACACAGGUGGUCAGGUAGAGAAUACCAAGGCGCUUGAGAGAACUCGGGUGAAGGAACUAGGCAAAAUGGUGCCGUAACUUCGGGAGAAGGCACGCUGAUAUGUAGGUGAAGUCCCUCGCGGAUGGAGCUGAAAUCAGUCGAAGAUACCAGCUGGCUGCAACUGUUUAUUAAAAACACAGCACUGUGCAAACACGAAAGUGGACGUAUACGGUGUGACGCCUGCCCGGUGC
rnacentral:rRNA from 1 species